rnacentral:rRNA from 1 species
CCCUUAGAUGUUCCGGGCCGCACGCGCGCUACAAUGGCAGACUCAGCGAGUUACCUCUGUCGAAAGGCACAGGGAAUCUUUACAGUAUCUGCCGUGAUGGGGAUAGACCCUUGUAAUUUUUGGUCUUCAACGAGGAAUUCCUAGUAAACGCAAGUCAUUAACUUGCAUUGAUUACGUCCCUGCCCUUUGUACACACCGCCCGUCGCACCUACCGAUUGAAUGGUCCGGUGAAGUCCUCGGACCCAGUUGAACCUCGAGUUGAACAGGGAAAGUUGACUAAAUCUUACCAUUUAGAGGAAGGUGAAGUCGUAACA